AUCGAGCUGCCUCAGAAACCCUCCCAGGCACCAAAACAGGCGGGAGGCAGCACAGAACUGAAGGUAAAACUGGAUGGGGAUGUUCAAAAAUAAAACAGGAACGGUCGCGUACCCCAGCAGCUCCCCGGGGUGUGCUGAGGGUCACAGCACCGAGGAAGACUCUGGAAGGGGGGGAUCAGAGCCUCCCACAGCCCAGUCUGUGGCAGAGCUGGAUGUUGAACAAACAGACACUGAGUCACGCCGGACAGGAACGUUUGGAGGAUCUGAGUGUCACAGCCAGAGAGCAGGAGUUGAGCCAAGCUCCUGCUCCAGCCCUCACGCUCCUUUCAUUCUCCACUUGCAGCAGAACUGAACAACCCAGGGGAGGAUUUGAGACCCCCAAACCGGAGGGAUUUUUCUUCUCAACGUGCCCAAUUUCCCCCCAGUGCUGUGCUGGGGUGCAGCCUCUGCGCUCCGGGGUAUUCCUGGUGCAGAGGGAGCUGUGGGAUAACCAGGGGGUGAUAAGGGCUAAGAGGUCUGGCCCUGGGAGAUAAACACACACCCCAUUCUAACCCAUGGCCAAAGCCUGCCCGAAAAUCCAUCUUAAAUGAAAACCACGGUGCUUUUUUCCGGGAUGGAAAUUCUCGCAGGGAGAGGGAAUGAUGUGUGUGCCCAGUGUCCCACUCCUUGGGAUGGCUGGGGACAGGCAGAGGGUGACCACUCUGACCUCUCUCCAUGGCUAAAACCCCCUCGGGCCGGACACUGAGCUGCCUUUGUACAAAUAUUCUCCCUGUGGUUUGCAGUUUUAUAAAUGAGGAGGCUGAGAUGGAAAGAAAAAACCCUGAGGUUUCCAAACAAGCGUUUGGUGGGAGGAGGAUGGGAUCGCAGGGUCUUGAUGCUGAGGGGUGACCUCCCACUGCCGGGAUGGAUGAACUGUGGAUGUUCCACUUCCACGUGCCCCUUGCCACACAUCCCGACGUUUUCCUGGCUGAAUUCAGUUCCCUGAAGAGCAUCAGGUUGAUUUUUCAGAAAGGACGAACACAGAGAAUGAAUCCUUCCCCAUCCCAUUUGCACACGGGUUAGCAUUUAGCUGUAGUCCUAGACCUAAACCUCGUUCUAGUCCUGCUCUAACUGAAAAAUGAAUCAUCCUCUGAGGACUCCAAUGACUUCAGCUGCAGCCAGUGGUGUCCAGAGCACAGAACACAAGGUUUUGGUUAAACAAAAGGCCCCACAUACUUUCUGGGGCUCGUAAUAGAAAUACCCACCCAGGAAACGAGCAGAAAUUACCCUUUCCCUCCUCCAAAUCACAUUUCAGUUCAUCCAUCGUGUCGUAUCUGUUCAUAACAAUACCCAGGCUGAAAAAUUCCCUGUGCGAGGCGACAACCGCGCGGCCACCGCUUGUCCUGACUCGAAGCGCAGCCACCAAAGAGAAAGCGCAUCCCAAAUACCCUCACCCGGAGUGGCUCAGCUGUGAUCCUCCUUGUCCAGCUGGGUCCACGGAGCCUCGCUGCUCUCCUCCCAGCGCAGGAGCUGCUCAGCAGCCCCAUGGCAUUGUCGGGGCACUGAGCCCUUUUCCCUGGCCAACUGCAUUUUUUUUCCCUGGCGAACUGCAUUUUUUUUUUUUCCUGGCGAACUGCAUUUUUUUUUCCCUUUCACGGUGCUGCUCGCAUUUUUCGGCCCUAUCACCUGCACGUUUCCCUGCCUCGGGCACUGCUUAGGAGAGCAGCAGUAAAUAAAAGUUUUUAACAGCCUCCGGUGAGUCAUCGGGGAGGCGCCAGGGAGGGAACUCACAAGGAUUAGUUCGGAGUUCAAGGAUAAAUAUUAAUUAAUAAGACUUUAUCUCGGCUUUCUCUCAAAAAUCCCGGUCCUGGAACGGUUUGGGCUGGAAGAGGCUUGGAAAAGUUCUCUUGGAGUCCCUUUAGGUACUGGAAGGGGCUCUGAAGUUUCCCGUUCCUUGUCCUUCCUAAAGCCCGUCUACCGCUCCAUUCCAACACUCCCACCACACCUCCACCAUCUCAAUAAAAUCAGACUUUUCUUGGAAUUAAUUUUUCUCACACACUCCCCUGAUAACGUGCAGCAGCAGAGCCGUUUGUCUAACAGCAGAAAGUCCAAAGAUUCACCUUUUCACUUUAUUUUUUUUCCCCUUCGUCUAGGGUUCUAUCUUACAAAAGAAAAAAAAAAAAAACAGAAAAAAGGCGGAAAUGAGCUCAAUGGUGAGAUGGCCACAAUUUUGCAAAGUUGAAAUCUUGACCCUAAUUCCCGUACUACUUUUUAAAGAUUAUCCACUUAACCCUUCCCCCCCCCCCCCGAA